CCUACGGGCGGCAGCAGUGAGGAAUAUUGGUCAAUGGACGAGAGUCUGAACCAGCCAAGUAGCGUGAAGGAUGACUGCCCUAUGGGUUGUAAACUUCUUUUAUAGGGGAGUAAAGUUCAGUAUGUAUACUGUUUUGUAUGUACCCUAUGAAUAAGGAUCGGCUAACUCCGUGCCAGCAGCCGCGGUAAUACGGAGGAUCCGAGCGUUAUCCGGAUUUUGUGGGUUUAAAGGGAGUGGAGGCGGACGCAUAAGUCAGUUGGGAAAAUUUGCGGCUCAACCGUGGAAUUGCAGUUGAAACUGGGGGUCUUGAGGGCAGGAGAGGUAAGCGGAAUUCGUGGUGUAGCGGUGAAAUGCGUAGAUAUCACGAAGAACUCCGAUUGCGAAGGCAGAUUACUGGACUGUAACUGACGCUGAGGCUCGAAAGUGUGGGUAUCGAACAGGAUUAGAUACCCGAGUAGUC
rnacentral:rRNA from 1 species